rnacentral:rRNA from 1 species
AACGAACGCUGGCGGCAUGCCUAACACAUGCAAGUCGAACGAGACCUUCGGGUCUAGUGGCGCACGGGUGCGUAACGCGUGGGAAUCUGCCCUUGGGUUCGGAAUAACAGUUAGAAAUGACUGCUAAUACCGGAUAAUGUCUUCGGACCAAAGAUUUAUCGCCCAGGGAUGAGCCCGCGUAGGAUUAGCUAGUUGGUGAGGUAAAGGCUCACCAAGGCGACGAUCCUUAGCUGGUCUGAGAGGAUGAUCAGCCACACUGGGACUGAGACACGGCCCAGACUCCUACGGGAGGCAGCAGUGGGGAAUAUUGGACAAUGGCGAAAGCCUGAUCCAGCAAUGCCGCGUGAGUGAUGAAGGCCUUAGGGUUGUAAAGCUCUUUUACCCGGGAUGAUAAUGACAGUACCGGAGAAUAAGCCCGCUAACUCCGUGCCGAGCAGCCGCGGUAACU